rfam:Pseudomonas cremoricolorata strain ND07, complete genome.
CUAUGAGACACCGCAAGGUUCCUGGCGCGUUUCGCCAGACACGACACUGAUGGCCUGCCCAGGCGUGCCAUCUCCGGCCAGGCCGGAAUGCCUCAACCCGCCGGUGUCGACACCGGC